rnacentral:rRNA from 1 species
UACGAAGGGGGCUAGCGUUGCUCGGAAUCACUGGGCGUAAAGCGCACGUAGGCGGAUCUUUAAGUCAGGGGUGAAAUCCUGGAGCUCAACUCCAGAACUGCCUUUGAUACUGGGGAUCUCGAGUCCGGGAGAGGUGAGUGGAACUCCGAGUGUAGAGGUGAAAUUCGUAGAUAUUCGGAAGAACACCAGUGGCGAAGGCGGGUCGUCUGGGCCGUAACUGACGCUGAGGAGCGAAAGCAUGGGGAGCGAACAGG